AGACAUGGAGCAAACUGUAAGAUUCCGCAUCCUAAUUGAUGAUCAAAUAAAAAAAGUUACACUCAGCAGUGGGGUACCCUCAACUGUGGCUGAGUUGGUUGCAGCAGUCAAGGAAAAUCUGUCCAUCCCCACAGAUAUAAGUCUUCAGUACAAAGAUGAAGAUUUUGGUGACUUCUUCACCGUAACAUCUACAAAUGAACUGAAAGAUAAAGACACACUUAAAGUUGUAUAUGCACCUAUAUGCUUAGAUUUGACAGUUGCUGACCAAGAAAGCAACUGUGAUGUAUCUGUGAUGUCCUCCUUUGACAGUGACAGUGCUAGUGGCUCACUGGAUUCCCAAGAUACUGUCAUUUUGAGUCAGUCCACCUUUGAAAGGCAGAACCCCUGGCCUGCUGUGUUUCCCAUUCCAACUUUUUCACACAACACUGAGCUUGCUUUGAAACAAGGCAAUGAGACAUAUUUAAAAGAGGGCACCCCGAUGACAUCACCUGGUUUCAGAUCUGACAUCCUUGAGCGUCUGGCAGAAGCAAUGUUUUCUUAUACUGCUUACCCUGAUGAUGCCCAAAGAAGUGCUGUAGCACAGGCACUAGUUGAGAAGCAUCCCUGCUUGAAGGAACCAGGGUCUUUUAAUGGAAUUUAUGGAUGGCAGCAAAGCCUGAAAUACAAAUGUGGAAACUACCGCACAAAACGUAGAGCACUGGGAAGUCCUGAACUCUUGAUCAACUCAUUGUCACAAAAGCCUGGUGAUGAGCAAGAAGUUGCUAAAAACAUCAAGAAAGCAAAGAGGGCAGAACUUAAUUACCUUCCUCCACAUCCACCUGGUGAAACAGACGACACUCUUGAGAAUAUGAGGCUUGAAAUAAUAACUGCCAGCAAGAGAAAAGACUGUGGCAAAGACAUAAACUACCUGAUGACCAGGACAUACAGCUUGAGAAGAAAAGAAGUGGUUUCUCAGUCCCCAAGGGUGACAAACUUUAUGGAAAGAUGGCCCGCUCUCUUCGAUACAUUUCAGAUAAAUGCAGAGUUCCAAAGGUGCACUGCUGUUCCUCUACAGUCUACAUUCAUGUCUCAGCUGGAUAAAUGUACUCCAAAGCUCCUGGAUUUGUUCAGUGCCAAGGGAGGAGCAGUUGGUCAGCGCAUCAAGAACUUAUUGAUGGAACUGAUACAGGACACAAAUGUCUCCACUGUGCAGAAGAGAGACGUAACUCUGAGAUGCCUCAUUGAGUACAUGGGAGAGAGUGGACAGGAACUCAUCUCGGACUACUAUGUAAGUAAAUUAUUAGGGCCAAGAUUGAAUCAAUCUGUUGCACAAACUGGAUUUGAUAAGUAAUAAAAAUAGGCUACCCUAGUUUUGCAUAGUUGUUUUAAUAAACAUCCACAAAGUAUAACCUCCAGGAUGAUUGAGCACUGAAAUUCAGCCGUUGCGCCUGAGCCUACGUAAGGGAAACACUGAUGUGUGCAAAUGCAUCUGUGUGUCUGCUCUGUUUUCACAAAUAUCCAGUGAGUUAUGGGGAGUCGCUGUUCAUGUUAACGAGCUCACUUUAACGUUGAUUGGUCAAAUAUACGAGCAAGUUAAGUUUACGUUUACAACAAAAUAAACAAGUUUACAAAUCGUUCAGUGAACUCUUUAGGCACAACAAUGCCAUGUUGUACUUGUUAACCUUUCCCUUCUCACCCCCAAAUUCCACUACCUCCGCUCCGCUGCGCUCCGCUCCGACACGAACGCCGGAGCAAAAUCGGUCCCGUUCUAGUCAAUCAGAGCAAUUCCACUACUGCGGCCGUGCGCCGCCCUCUGUUCCGGCGUCCGGCAAAAAUAGAAUCGAUCCUAUUUUCACCGGACGCCGGAGCACCUCCGCAGUCAAUGGACAGAAAUCACAAACACCCAACAGGAAAAGGAGCAAGCAGAAAUUCCGUUUUUCACAAUACAUCGAUAAACAAAAGGCGUUUUUUGUUUCAUAUGCACAGAUUUAACAACUUUUAACAACUAUCAGUGGCGGCUGAAGUUUAAAUGCACAAAAAUAAGCCAUAAAUACAGUUUCCACUAUCAAAGUAGUCACACUUUGUUGAUCCAAACACUGCUGAUCUCUCAACACAAAUGAUGGGCAGAUUAAACAGUUCAUGCCGAUGCUUCUCCCACACAACGGGUGUUUGGAUCUAACUUCCGCGUUUAUUGCUCGGACUGUAUCGCAAGAUCUCGAAAAUCCCGCGCAUGCUUGUUUGCCCACCUCAGGUCUCCGCACCGGAGCGGAGCCGUUGUAGAGCGGGUACCAGUAAAAAUUGAGUUCGGAAGCGAGCGGCUGCGGAAGCCGGGGGCGGACCGGAGCGGAGCGGAGGUAGUGGAAUUUGGGGGUUAGUCGUACAUUUGCAGGAUUUCCCCCAGCGCUUUAUAAGCCAGGCUUUGCUUGGCCACCCGACACGAACGGCACAACAAAACUAGAGCCCUCCAUCAUCUUAUACUGGUGAGAAACAGCAGCGGAACGUGUGCAGGGAACUCCAGCAACAAAGGAAGAACUCAGCACAUUACAGUCCUAAUAAAUUUAAUACAUAUUAGAGAAACAUUUUAACCAAAAAACUCAUCUAUAUUACUGACUGUUGAUGUUGAAUUACAGUUCAAAUUCCAUAGCCAUCAUCCCACACUGAUGAAAUUUAUCUCCGCAUUUGACCCAUCCCGAUGAAGGGGAGUGGUGAGCUGCAGCAGUGGCUGCGCUCGGUAACUAUUUGGUAGUUUAACUCCCCAAUCCAACCCAUUAAAGCUGAGUGUCAAGCUGGGAGGCAUUGGGUACCAUUUUUAAGAUCUUUGGUAUGACCUGACCAGGAAUCAAACCUCUAUCUCCAAGUUCCAGGGCAGACACUCCACUACUAGGCCAGGGGUCGGCAACUCGCGGCUCUGGAGCCGCAUACGUCUCUUUCAUCCAUCUGAUGCGGCUCUCUGCUUGUAAAAUAAUUAAUGAAUAUUUAAUUACAAUGUAUUUUAUUUUACUGCAUUCAUUUUUUAUCUGUAGCCAAUUCUAAAUGUAAAGAUUGUCUAUGUAAACCAAGCCCCCACAAUGCCGCUCAGAAAAUGGUCCCAACCCGGAAGUAAGAAAAAUUGCAGUUCCACCCUCAUCCGCUGGGGGCUGGUACCAGAAGCGAGCAAAUCCUCAUUGACCCCCAUGUUAAAAAUGCCAUUUUCACAGCAGAAAUAAACAUGUUUACAGCCUGGUUCAAAAAAUGGUUUUUUGUCUAAAUUAUCUAGUUUAUACUCAUGACAACUCUGAGGGGGGUGAAUUUUUUUCUCACUCUUCUGUUUAAGUGUAUUGAAAGCCUAAAAUUCUGUAUAAUUAAUGAACAUCCGACACACGUGACCGCCGCCUCAGACCCACGUGACCACAUAGCUAGCUCCGUGGAAAGGCCUCAGUACAGCCUCGGUCUCUCCUGGAAACUGUGUCGGGAUUUUGAGUCUCUGUGCUUGUGAAUUCUGUUUUGGAUAAUAUUGGUGCAAUUGUUGGACAAAAUGACUUGCUGUGGUAUUAAUUGCACUAAUAGAGCGUCCAAGGAGUCUCCACUUCAUUUUUUUCGGGAAGGACCUGAUUGGUGUCCAGAACCUGCUGAAGAAGCACCAGGCUCUGCAGGCUGAGAUCACAGGUCAUGAACCUCGCAUCAAGGCUGUCACCCAGAAAGGAGAGACCAUGGUGGAAGAAGGUAGAGCAGGUCUGGUCCUGACAUGUUUCUGAGGUGUCUGCAGGUUCUGGCUCACUUUGUUUGGGUCCAGGUCACUUCGCUGGUUCAGAACCCUCGGCCCAUCAGAACAUUCUUAUCCACCACGUUCUAACACCAGACCUGUUAACCCGACAGCAACAAGUGGCUCCAACUGACGAUGAGACCGGGAAGGAGCUGGUUCUGGCUCUGUACGACUACCAGGAGAAGAGUCCUGGAGAGGUCACCAUGAAGAAGGGCGACAUCCUCACGCUGCUCAACAGCACCAACAAGGUUGUUUUACUUGAACUCGCGUCUUUAGCUGAAUGAGGAUGGAGAGACGGGUCGGACCUGGAGCAGGUCGAGGUCUUGCAGAAGAAGUUUGACGACUUCCAGAAGGACCUGAAGGCCAACGAGUCCCGCCUGAGGGACAUCAACAAGGUGGCAUCUGAACUGGAGUCAGAAGGUCUGAUGGCUGAGGAGGCUCCUAUGGUUCAGGCUCAGCAACAAGAACAUCUGGGUUCUGCUCCUGGAAAGGAUGAAGCCGACUCUGACCCCGGCUUUCCACAGGAGUCGUCAGCAGCACGUUACUGCAGCAGCACGUCAUAGCUGCUGAUAGGAACCGCUGUGGUCAACAGAACCUUUUCCACCGGAGCCGUCAGCAGCGCGAGUCGGCCACGUCUCAGGAGCAGCAUGUCGCGGGAAGGGCCGAGCAGCAGCUUACGCGAGCAAGACAAGCUGCUGCAGUAACGUGCUGCUGACGGCUCCCGUGGAAACCCGGGGUUAGACGGCGUCACCCUAGAAGGUGAGUUCAUUCAGCUGAUCAGAGGUCACCUCUGAUGGCCGCAGUCACGGCCGACCGUGCUGAAAUCACACAGGAAUUCAGGUGACCCGGCAGGCACCAGGUGCUGGUGAAAGUGGGGACAUGUCAGCUGGUUGCCAUGGCUACAGUUAUCUUUAUGCAUCUGUAUGACUGCUGACUGGUGUGUGUUUCCUGUGACCUUUGACCUCAGACCGUACGGUUGGGCGUUCAGACGACGGCUAACUUUAAUUCCAUCAAGGAGCUGAACAACCGCUGGCGCUCGCUGCAACAUGCUGGGCAGCGCCCAUGAGGUGUAGCGCUUCCACAGAGACGCUGAUGAGACCAAAGAGUGGAUCGAGGAGAAGAACCAGGCCCUGAACACAGACAACUACGGCCACCACCUAGCCAGCGUUCAGGCUCUGCAGCGUGAACAUGAAGGCUUUGAGCGUGACCUGGCAGCUCUGGGUGAUAAGGUCCGCUUUCCUGAUUGGUACCAGGACCCGAGUUGUCUCUGGAGACACAUUCUUCAUGGUUCUGGUGACUACACCCCAGCUGUUCCUGAUCAGCGAUCAGCGGGGUGCUUUCCUAUUUAAGGUGGAUGGAGGACACAAUUUGACGCCAGAAGAUUGCCUCAGUUUUGGAUUCCUGUCGACCUCAUUGGAUACUGACCUCUACUCCAGGAUUUGGAUAUUCAACACACGGACCUUAUCACCACCCUCCAUAACCCACCUCUCAUCUCACCCAGUGCCCCAUCCACCAGGACGCCCCGCUUCUCUCCACCUCUGCUCCCUCUCCUGCGCUUCCUCUCUACCUCUCCCUCCUCCAGCCAACACAUACACCCACCACAACGCUGAGCUGUUGUUGCAGUUCCAACCACAGACUUAUCUGUGCACCUUAAGUUCCUCCUUAUAAAUAAAUCAUUUUUUCCAUCAGUUUUUGGUCAGUGGUGUAUUCUGCAUGUCUUGGGUUAAGUACCUUCCUCCAAACAUGACACUCCUCUUCAAAGAGCAAAUCUGUUCAGCACAUUCUGACAGACAGACCACCAUUCUUCUGUCAUGAUGCUGUACAGGACAUUUUUAGAGUUUUUCUUUUUAAAGAUAAAUAGGAUUACAUUUAAAUAGCAAUACUUUCACAUUAUCAUUUUCCCACACUUCUGUAUAACUGUAUUUUGUUGUUUUUCAAUAAAGAAUGACAAAUUA